CUGUGGCAUUCACACUUGAUUUUGUGCAACUUCCUUAUUGAGAGUUUCGAUCACAUGGGCGAUUCGUCGGGCAUUAGUAAUCUUCCAGAAAUCUACCGAAUUUGGGCUUGGUACGGCGCCGAAAUACGUCUGAUAUUCAUGAUUGCUGUAAAAUAACUGAUCUGCAUAGAUAUUAUAUGCUCCCCUUGUGUGCAUCGGGCACAGAUAAACAAAUGUAUCAGAGUAUAUGCGUGUGUGUACAAAACUUUUCCUCGAGUUUCCUGUGUUUGACGAGCACAACGAAGCCGUCUGUUGUCGUUGAGCAAUUUGGUGGCCCCAACGCUCCAAGACUAAACAGAUGCUGCGGGUGAAUGAAGUGAUUCCAAAAAUAGACGACUCCGCUCGUGCCAUCAGGCAAUGUGUGAGUACAACAACAGCGGGGAAGAAAUACACUUUAUGUCUUACCCUAUGCAUAUUCGCUUGCGUGUAUACUCGAAAAACAAAUUGAGCCCUUUUGAUUCAUUGGAGUACCUACCUACGUACCUCUCUGUUAUGUGGCAUCGGACCACUUCACGUCUCGCCAGCUGCUUAAGUACGAGCAUGUGGGGAAAAUGAAAAUGUAUUGAGCUGAAAUUGAAUCAUCGAUGAGCUCGGCUGGUAAACAGACGACGUGCUAUAGCUUGUCCUAAAAUUUUGAAAUCUGCAUGCUUUUGGAGUACUCUUCAUCUUUUUCUUAUUAUUUAGAUAAUUGUAUUUCUAGAGUAAUCGUUCCAGCUUGUUGAUGGAUUAAGCAUUUGGGUAGUUUUUCAAGAAGUUUCAGAAAAAUACUUUCCAAACCGGCUGAUCAGUAGACAAUGUGCUUUCAACGAGUUGGCUCCACAUUCCACACAAACCGAGCGAAUAUGACUUUAUUGCGAAAGAUAUUUCCGGGAUUGCGUCCAAUAUAGGCAUAAAGUGCUUGAAAGUUACCACAAACGGCACGAGUUUGUAAAAAUUCGCGAGGUGUACAUUUUAAUGAUGUGGUAUUUCACAUACAAUCCAAGGUUCAAAUUUUAUAAGAAAAAGUAAUCUCAUGAAAAAAAAUAUUUUAAAUGCGUUUCGUUAACGUGUAUUUUCAAAACCACAAAUUGGAUAACCCUGUAUGCUUGUAAAUUAUAGGCCGUCAUUAU